GACAGAGGAUGCAAGCGUUAUCCGGAAUGAUUGGGCGUAAAGCGUCUGUAGGUGGCUUUUUAAGUCCGCCGUCAAAUCCCAGGGCUCAACCCUGGAGAGGCGGCGGAGACCACCGGGCUUGAGUCCGGUAGGGGCAGAGGGAAUUCCCGGUGGAGCGGUGAAAUGCGUAGAGAUCGGAAAGAACACCAACGGCGAAAGCACUCUGCUGGGCCGACACUGACACUGAGAGACGAAAGCUAGGGGAGCGAAUGGG
rnacentral:rRNA from 1 species